UAAUAUUUAGAAUCUUUGUUUAUCACUAACAUAGAUUUUUUUUUUUGAGAGAAAGAUAGCAUAUUGUAUGUUAUCCGUUUCGCUUAUUUUUUUUAAAAAAAUAAACUUAAUUAGAAAUAUGAAUCAACUAGGAUUCCAAUCUGAAACUUCGAGUAUCAAUUACUAAAUUUUUUACCACUUGCGCUAGAGAUGGAUUGCGUUUGGCUGGGUCAUCCUAAAAAUCAUACUACUCCUGACUUUUCAAAUAACCUACCAGCAGGCUAUAAAUCCAAUUAGCUCGGUUACUGAUAGAUUGCGUUCCUUUCCAUCUAUUCAUCUAUUCCAGACCAAAUUCACAUCAUCGCCCAAAUCUCCUGACUGGACAUUUUCUAAGGUCAUCACUAUAAGAAAUUUGAAAAACACACACUGAGUAAAUAAGUGGUCGACAGUUUUCUCUUCAGUCUCACACAGCACACAGAUCGUGUUGCUAAGCCAUCAUCUCUUAAGGAGAUUAUGUGCAGU
rnacentral:lncRNA from 1 species